AAUGUAUUUACUUGAUGUAAAUGGCAGAGAUCAAGGGGGAUGUCUUUCUCUGUAAGACUCAGAUAUCUAAGUCAUUGAUGGGUAUUAUUAGGAGGCUAGUUUGUAGUUACAUUAACUUUGGGUUGGUAAAGUAGGGACAAUAUGUUUAUUAGAUGAGUAGCUGACUCAUGUUGUUAUAUGCUUUACCUUAUCUGGGGAGUUUGGCAGGGCAAUAAUGGCAUGCAAAGUAUAAAGAUUUAGUGGGAGGUAGGAGGAUUUGGUUAAGGCGCUCUUUUACCUGGUAUACAUGUGUGUGUGUAUGUAUGUAAAUGCUCUAUGUUCUGUGAUCAUUGUCUUAACAUAGUUAAUUAUGUUGGCAAAUAAUAUUCAAUUUAAGCUCAGCUAUAAGUUGCUUGGCUGUGUUAAGGCCUCUGAUGACCACAGCAUCCCCCUAAAUUAAAAAAAAAAAUACCAAAUGCAUGAAACCAGUUGUGUGUUAGCAUAAGCUGAUUUGACAGUCCACUAAGAUGUCUUAUUUAAGGGGAGAGAGUGGGCAACUUUACCUGAGAUGGCUGUAAAGAACCAGAUGCCAGAUAUUGCUUAUAGAAAUCCCCAUGGGAGUUCCUGCUGUGGCAUGGCAGGUUAAGUACCCAGCACUGUCUCUGCGGCAGCUUGGCUUAUUGCUGAGGUGUAGGUUUGAUCCCUAGCCCGACACAAUGGGUUAGGAUCAGGCAUUACCAUGGCUGUUUUGUAGGUUGCAGCUGCAACUCAGAUUAGAUACUUGGCCCAAGAACUUACAUAUGCUGUGGGUGUGGCCACCCCCAAAAGCAACCCCCCUGGUUCUUGGAUCCAAAAUGUGGAGAGAGGCACAUUUGUGGGUAGGCUGAUGGUUUAUCAAGGCUUUUUGACUAAGCUCUGGUUAUUGGUUAGGAUAACCGUGUUGUACUGGAAAUGAUUGGACAUAAUGUGGCAUGUACAAUGAAUAAACAUGUGGUAUCCUAUAUAGUAUCACUUCAAUUACCCAUGAAUAUUCCAUAGGGACUGGAAUCUAAUAUGGAUUGAACUGUUUAACGUGUCCUAUAAUAUCAAUAGGCUGAUGUACAUGCUUAUACACAUGGGAUUGAGAAUGUGAUUAUAUGAGCAUAUAUUAUAUAAGAUAAAGCGUAUGUACUAACUUAUAUGUGGAAGGGCAUAUAAUGCACAAAGUAUGUAGUAAUAUCAGUUUCUACGACGUCAUUUUUUAAUGUUUACACAGCACUUAAAGUGAAUGUCCUACAAGCAGUUAUUCAGGGAAUAGUGUAAGUAGAACUUAAGCUUUGGGAGCUGAAGCUGCUUCCAUGAGUCUUAGGAAGAGAUGUUUUCCUUUUCUGAUUUACCAAAUCAGGGUAAUAAAUAUACUGCAAAGAUUCUUUGGGGAAGGUUACUUCCAAUAAUGCUUGUUAUUGGUAUAAGGACAAGAAUUAAAAGAAAGUCUAGAAUAGAGGCUAGUUCAUGUAGCUAAAAACCAAAACUAAAGCUGAGAUCAGUGCAGCCCAGGUUUUAGUCUGUGGCCAAAGAAUGAAGAAGCAGCAACUUAGUUCACAGAUCAACUUAUCACCCAGGUGGUGAGAGGAAUUUGAUUUUAAAGAGAAAAGACAAAGGGAGGAGGAAUGAAGCUAGUCCACCAGGGAAGGGGCAGGGCUUUCCUGGAAAUGGGGUCAGAUUCCUCAUCACCCUGAUUCCACCUGGUUCAUCUGGUUUUUGUUGGUCUCUUUGUAUACCUUCCUCAUCUCCAGACCCUCUGACUGACGGUCUAUCUUCUGAAGCUGCUUCCUGAGGAACACGGGUGUGGUUUCUCCCUGGAUUAGAGAAGAACUGUUCCUGACUAGCCUCAGAUAAGUCUGAUUUGUCUCCAGGCUGCAGUCCCAGCUGCACAUAGCCUUGUCUUAGUAUCAUCUGAAGUCUGAUGGCUUCAAGUCAUUUACUAAAAAAGGUGACAAGGCAUUUAAGGAGGCAAGGCUCCAAGACAAGCAGAAGAAUAAAGGCAGUUAGUAGGCUAAGAAAUGGAAGAACCCAUGUUAAGCGGGGAGGCUGUCUGCCCAUAUCCAGAUGGAUCCUGGAUCUGGACCUUGUGUGUUAGAUCUAUGCAGCCUUAGAGCUUGUUCAUGUAUCUCUUAUGUUUAAAUCUGGUUAGAUGGAGGUAGUGACAUACAUGCAGCAGGUUUUACAGAUAACUGCAGACUCCCUCUUGCCUAGCCUAGAGAUAGUCAAGGGCUAGCGUACUGUUGGAACAACAUUUGAUAGUGAGUCCACAGAAAUACAGGGCCCUUGAAAGGCAUACCCCAUGUUUUUAGACAAGUCCUCAAAGGCCUGUGAGAGAUUCUGUAACGUGGUUUCAUGAUAUGUGAAAGCUCCCCAGGGGGCCACCGGUACCAGAGCAAUCCGUACUCCUGCCAGAAUUAAGUCCUACUGCCCUUUUAUCUCAAAGCUGGGUGACAUUAUGAAUGGUUAGAUCUAGGUUCCUAGGACUUAGCCAGCCUAGUGUGCACUGUAUAAAAACUGGGUAUUAUGUAAGCAAGGGUGUAGGCUUGAGCCCAUCCCAGAGAAGAGAAAGAUUUGGGGGUUGUUCUGAUGGGGCAACUGGUUUACUCUCAGGCCACAAAGGAAUAGGUUACCUGGGGGAAGCCCAUGCCUGGUGCAUUUCUGAGGAGUUGAACCACCACCUCUCUGAGUGGCUAGCCCAAGAGGGGUUGCCCUGCAGUGUGGGGAGAGAAGCCUACCUACACAGCUGGGAUCACGGGGGGAGGAUUCUGGACUAAUGGUUCUCUCCCAGGCCUCAGGAGGGCCAUAUACUAAAUGCCAGACAAAUUGCUAUCUUCCCUCUCCAACAAGUACACACCUCUAAUCUUGUCCCUGUGUGCGUUGGUGCAGAGGGCACUGAGGGGUUGAGAUUUCCAUAGGAGUCAAUCCUGGGUCCCUUAAGCUGUGGGGUAAGGGAAGAAGCACUGAUCAGAGUCCAGAGAAGCCCCAGGGUGUUACUACAAGUUCCUCCCUUUGGUAGGAGCCACUGAUCGGGGCAGUGGCAGCAAUACAGAAUGAGUGCUCUGUAUUUGCUAGAGAUGUUAUUGUGAGGGUGGGGUCCAAACAGAGAAGCUGUGUUAGGGACGAGGUGUGAACUUCAAAAGGGAUAAAUUUAGCAGGCCUAGGAUGUAAGGUGGCAGUGAGGUUGUCGUUUUGGCGGUAAAAUGUAAUAAUACCUUUAAUCCAUAGGUAUUACUUUGUGGGUGGGGGGUGAGAGACCAGCACCAGGACAGAUUUUGUACAGGGGUAUAAGCUUCGAGAAAUUUAUUACUACAUUCAGGUCCUAGUCCAUGUGGAUGGCUGUAAGAGAGCAGAGAAGGUAAGAAGGAACAGACAAUAAUGGCUGCUCACCCUACUUUCAGUGUUAGUCUCCCCUGGGUCCAGCGUGGACAGAGAUGUCUGACACAGCAGCACAAGCCAAGUAAGGCAAGAGCAAUGACGAAGCCAAUGACUAAGCCUAUCCCCCACGUCUCUU
rnacentral:lncRNA from 1 species